CCUACGGGAGGCAGCAGUGAGGAAUAUUGGUCAAUGGACGCAAGUCUGAACCAGCCAUGCCGCGUGCAGGAAGACGGCCCUAUGAGUUGUAAACUGCUUUUGUAAGAGGGUAAACGCAGAUACGCGUAUCUGUCUGAAAGUAUCGUACGAAUAAGGAUCGGCUAACUCCGUGCCAGCAGCCGCGGUAAUACGGAGGAUUCAAGCGUUAUCCGGAUUUAUUGGGUUUAAAGGGUGCGUAGGCGGUCGGAUAAGUUAGUGGUGAAACUCCGAGGCUCAACUUCGGAAUUGCCUCUGAUACUGUUAGGCUAGAGAGUAGUUGCGGUAGGCGGAAUGUAUGGUGUAGCGGUGAAAUGCUUAGAGAUCAUACAGAACACCGAUUGCGAAGGCAGCUUACCAAGCUGCUUCUGACGUUGAGGCACGAAAGUGUGGGGAUCAAACAGGAUUAGAUACCCCUGUAGUC
rnacentral:rRNA from 1 species